CGGAGUGGGCGGUAAGUCCGUUGCGGGUUCCUCCGGUGUUCCCAUCCGUAGGUUGGCCAAGCCGGAGGGCGUCAAGCCGGCGUCGCGGUAGUCGA
rnacentral:sRNA from 1 species